AACGAACGCUGGCGGCAUGCCUAACACAUGCAAGUCGAACGAGACCCUCGGGUCUAGUGGCGCACGGGUGCGUAACGCGUGGGAACCUGCCCUUAGGUUCGGAAUAACUCCCCGAAAGGGGUGCUAAUACCGGAUAAUGUCUUCGGACCAAAGAUUUAUCGCCUUUGGAUGGGCCCGCGUUGGAUUAGCUAGUUGGUAGGGUAAAAGCCUACCAAGGCGACGAUCCAUAGCUGGUCUGAGAGGAUGAUCAGCCACACUGGGACUGAGACACGGCCCAGACUCCUACGGGAGGCAGCAGUGGGGAAUAUUGGACAAUGGGCGAAAGCCUGAUCCAGCAAUGCCGCGUGAGUGAUGAAGGCCAGAGGGUUGUAAAGCUCUUUUACCCGGGAUGAUAAUGACAGUACCGGGAGAAUAAGCUCCGGCUAACUCCG
rnacentral:rRNA from 1 species